ACGACCAACGGAGAUGACAUUCCUCCAUUAACCGCCCUUUCAGGCUGAUGAUGUCUACGUAACC
rnacentral:ncRNA from 2 species